rnacentral:rRNA from 1 species
AUUGAACGCUGGCGGCAGGCUUAACACAUGCAAGUCGAGCGAGCGGCGGACGGGUGAGUACUUUCUGGGAAACUGCCUGAUGUACGGGGAUCACUACUGGAAACGGUAGCUAAUACCGCAUACCAUCAGAUGUGCCCAGAUGGGAUUAGCUUGUAGGUGGGGUAAUGGCUCACCUAGGCGACGAUCCCUAGCUGGUCUGAGAGGCUGAUCGGCCACACGGGAACUGAGACACGGCCCAGACUCCUACGGGAGGCAGCAGUGGGGAAUAUUGCACAAUGGGCGCAAGCCUGAUGCAGCCAUGCCGCGUGAGUGAAGAAGGCCUUCGGGUUGUAAAGCACUUUCAGUGGGGAGGCGUUACUCACAGAAGAAGCACCGGCUAACUCCGUGCCAGCAGCCGCGGUAAUAC